UUGUGACGAAUGGUGACAGCAGACAGCCCGAAAAUAAAUAAUCAACAAUUUUGCACAAAGAAUUUAUUUCUUUAUAGAGAUUUUGCGUCUACGAUUAUUAAUAAGAAGUGGUAAAAAGUAAUUGGGUGGGUGUUCUUUUCUUUUUAGUACUAAAUAUAUGAAUUGAUAUUGUAUUUAUUUGCAAAUCGCUUUUCUUAGCUUUCAAGACACCACACAACUCAAGCCAUCCAGUACCUAAGUUUUGAUUUGAUAAAAGAAUAAAGCUUAAAUAUACUAUAUUCGCAAAAUAUUCAGUUAAAAAAUGUACUAUGUUACUGGUACAAAUUUGUAUGGCCAAUGGUUUAGAACCUCAAAUAACAAAAGCUUAUUUGAAGGUUUCCAACAACUUGAAAAGGAAAACGAGACAAAGUUUGAUUUGAUUCGAGCUAAACUGGUUAUAUCAUGCUGGUCUUACAAUAUAUUCACAAUGGACAAUGAUUUUUUUUUAAUUGGCGCCUGGAAAGGUGCAGACAACCAAAUAGUCAAAGUUCCAGAUCAGUGCAGGACUUCAAUACAAUCAAAUUUGCUAAUAGCUGGGAAUGAUUUUAUGUUAAUUCUAGCAGAGAAAGUCACUAGAUCCUUAUGGUUUUAUGAUUUUAAAUCUGAACAGUUUAAAAGAGUUAGUAUUACUGAGCAGCCAAUUUUGGAAAACGAAGUAAAAAAAAUGAGAACAAGUGAUGAAAUCAUAAAAGUUGUUGCAACUAAUAAUGUAUACAUAUAUUUAACCUCUGAGGGAAAUGUGUACACUGGUUCUUUGCCUAACUAUUUGGACACGCGCCACUGUUUUGGAAAAGUUUGUGAUGUUGAAUGCGGAUACGAACAUUAUAUACUUCUCACAGAUGAAGGCAGAGUUUAUACAUGGGGAAAUGGACGGAGAUUGCAACUUGGCCAUGGAGAUUUAAUAAAUUUGGAAGUCCCGACUGAAGUUGAAGCAUUAGCAGGAAUAAAAAUAACCAAAAUUAAGGCUGGAGGCUGGCAUUCCCUUGCUUUAAGUGAAUUUGGAGAUUUGUAUGUGUGGGGCUGGAAUGACACAGGACAGUUAGGAAUGAACAAAAAUGGCCAAGACAAUGUAGAGACCAAGAAAAGUCAUGCAACACCCACACUUGUUGAUCUUUUUGAUGAGAAUGGAGAAGUUAAUUUACUUAUAAAGGAUAUAGCCUGUGGUACAAGACACUCUGCCAUUUUGCUUGAGGAUGACACAGUCUGGACCACUGGAUGGAAUAAGUAUGGCCAGCUAGGAUUACCUCUCAAGCAAUAUGAAAAAUUGGAUUGUUUCACAAAGUCAUUUUACUGCCCCAAUAUUUCUGGUAUAACCUGUGGUCCUUGGAACACUAUAGUUGAAGUGCAUUCAUAAUUAAAUUACGGUUGUAAUACUCAGUUUGUUAGUAGAUAAAUUAGACUUUUUCUCAGUAGAUAAUAUCUAUAAAUGUAGUAUGAACUAUAUGUAAUCUUUUAGAAAAUAUUGCCCUUAAGGGUUUAAUAUUUAUCUUUUAUGUAGUGUAGUCCAAAAAUAGCAAGACAGAUGGCGCCACAACCAUUACACAAUGAUAUAACUACCUUUAUUAUUUUUAAAGUUGCAAAUUCUAAAAUAACUACUAAAAAAUAAAAUUAUAUGUUUACUUCUAUUAAAAGUUCUGAAAGUAACAACAUGUGUUGAAAAUUGGCAAAAUGUUAGAAAAGUAAAGGUUGUUUUAGUUCACCCACAUAUAGUGUCAAUAAUGAAUUAUUAUUAUGUUUGAAGCAAAUUUGAUGAGCGGAGACUUACUUCAUCUUGGUGUAUACCUUUCUAUAUGAAGUGAGGUCAUGAUUUUCAGAGGUUCAGUAUUCUUGGCUCAAGUAUUUCUAUCCACCGAAUUAACUAAUUAGAAAGUGUACACACACAGAGUAUAAACAGAAUUCUGUUAAAUAUAAUAUAUCUGGGUCAAGUUAAAUUAUCAUAAUUAUGCCAGUGCCCAGGGCUGGAUAAUGCUUAGUAUAGGGACUAUGCAUUAUCCAGCAUUAUACAAUGCCUUUUGGCAUUUUGUGAUGCAGUAUACUAUUCUUUUGACAUGGUAGCAGUUUUCCGAAUGUUUUAUUGUAGGUAAUUCUGUCACUACUAAUUGGUACCAUUAAAGAUUCCUUUAUUACGUACACCUACACAAUAAAAGUUCACCCAAGGCACUGUUUAUAUAUUCUUUGCAAUAAACUGUCAAAUAUACGUA